CGGCUGUGUAUCAAAUACCAGUGGAAGCACGGACUGGCUCCAGAGGAACUUUGGCGUAUUUUCAGUUUUUGUAGAACUGUCCGAGUUACAAGUUCUUAAUCCCGGGUUUUCCAGCAUGGAAUCUCUCUCGGCGCUUACCCCAGACCAAGUGGCACAAUGGGCAUUGAGCUCUGGAGCAUUGAAUAACACCAAUGACAUCAACCUUGUGUUUGAGCGGCUGGACAAAGGAAACGCUUUCCAAAAUGUUGACCAGUUUCUGACGCAAUUGACGGCCGAUGCAGAACAGAUUCCUGACAUCUCUCCGGCCGUGAGGGAUGUAAUGAUGAAUCUGACAUUUAGCAUCAUCAGCCCUGAAUUCCAACGAUUUGAAAGGCUG
ensembl:lncRNA